rnacentral:rRNA from 1 species
AUGCAAGUCGACGGAACGAUGGGAGCUUGCUCCCAGGCGUCGAGUGGCGGACGGGUGAGUAAUACUUAGGAAUCUGCCCAUUAGUGGGGGACAACUAGAAGAAAUUCUAGCUAAUACCGCAUACGCCCUACGGGGGAAAGCGGGGGAUCUUCGGACCUCGCGCUAAUGGAUGAGCCUAAGUCGGAUUAGCUUGUUGGUGAGGUAAUGGCUCACCAAGGCGACGAUCCGUAGCUGGUCUGAGAGGACGAUCAGCCACACUGGGACUGAGACACGGCCCAGACUCCUACGGGAGGCAGCAGUGGGGAAUAUUGGACAAUGGGCGCAAGCCUGAUCCAGCAAUGCCGCGUGUGUGAAGAAGGCCUGCGGGUUGUAAAGCACUUUCAGUAGAGAAGAAAAGCUUACGGUUAAUAACCGUGAGUCUUGACGUAACCUACAGAAGAAGCACCGGCUAACUCCGUG